rnacentral:rRNA from 1 species
CCGUGCGAAGGUAGCGUAAUCACUUGUCUUUUAAAUAAAGACUAGUAUGAAUGGCACCACGAGGAUUUAGCUGUCUCCUUAGACUUAUCAGUGAAACUGAUCUCCCCGUGCAAAAGCGGGGAUAUACACAUAAGACGAGAAGACCCUAUGGAGCUUAAAACCGAUAGCCGCCUAUGCCAUCUACUAAUAUAAAUAGUAUUAUAACAAUAGAUCCGGCCUACGUUUUCAGUUGGGGUGACUGUGGAGAAAAACCUAUCCUCCAUGAAGAAACAAGCCUUGAGUUACCACUCUACGCAUAAGCAAGCCUAACUUUACUUGAUCCAAUCUAUUUGAUCAACGGACCAAGUUACCCUAGGGAUAACAGCGCAAUCCAUUUCAAGAGUCCUUAUCGACAAAUGGGUUU